rnacentral:rRNA from 1 species
UACAGAGGUCUCAAGCGUUGUUCGGAUUCAUUGGGCGUAAAGGGUGCGUAGGCGGCGCGGUAAGUCGGGUGUGAAAUCUUGGAGCUUAACUCCGAAACUGCAUUCGAUACUGCCGUGCUUGAGGACUGGAGAGGAGACUGGAAUUUACGGUGUAGCGGUGAAAUGCGUAGAUAUCGUAAGGAAGACCAGUGGCGAAGGCGGCGACCUGGACAGGUACUGACACUCAACUACGAAAGCGUGGGGAGCAAACAGG